UACAGCUUCGGGAAAAAAAAUUUAUAACAAAAAUGACCUCGAGAAAAACCGUCGACCCAUACACCGUUUAAGAACGACUGGAAAUGUAAAUCUUCCUGUAUUUAGAAGACGCGGCGGCAGAAGUCGUUCAGAGGAAAACACAAUAAAUGUUAUGGCAUAUGUGCAUUUUAACCCGCAUUCAAGUGUUAGAGCAAUAAGAGAGACUUGGGAAUAAGCAGAACAACCGUUCAACGUAUUUUGACAGGACACAGGCAUGGUUAUAUGUUAACAUAAUAAUUUAUUUAUCAUUCCGGAAAGAUAUUUAAUAGGACAUUGUAUGUCUUUUAUAUUUCAUCCAUAUCAUAUAGUACUGCAUCAAUAAUUGGUUGAUCGUGAUGACGACAGAAGGUUGGAUUAUUGCAACUGGUUACUACAUAUGGUAUAUGACGACCUUCAAUUACUGUCAUGUAUUUUGUGGUCAGACGAAGCUACAUUUAGUAGUGAUGGUACGGUUAACCGGCAUAAUAUGCACUAUUGGUCACAGGACAUUUAGAUCGUCACUUACAUUAAGUUAUAUUUCCAUUUUAACUUCCAUAAAGCAGUUUCCCGGUGACAGCAUAAGUAAUAUUGACAUAAUAAUUGGAACUAUUAUUGAACAGUCAGACCGGAGUAAUUUAUGUUUAAAGGAAAAUGCUUAAAAUUUACUCAUUUCUUAAGAUAUCUCGUAGUACGAGAAAGAUAUAGACAUGCGGUUUUUGCUAUUCUGUUGCUAAUUUGGUCUACUUUUAUAUUUUUUAAUUAAAACGGCAUGUUUCCAUUUAAUAUUUUUCAAGGAUAGCUAGAUUUAAAAAAAUAAAUAAAUAGCGUCCUCUAGCGUAUACUUUACUCAUUACGUUGUUUUGAAAUUAUAAUUCUUACAUUGGUAGAAAGGAGCUCUCUUCAAAAAGACUAAGUUUGCAUAGAUAGGUUAAGUAAUUUUUGGUAUUUAAUUCCAGGUUUUUCUCGAGGUCACUUUUGUUAUAAUUUUUUUUUUCCUGAAGCUGUACUAUAAACGGUUCCCGAGAUAUGGCCGAAAACCAUUCUUAUUGGGACACCCGGUACAUUAAUGAACAGAUUGCAAGAAAAUAUCACAAAAAAAUAUGCCAAUAUGCAGAAAAUAAUCUCUCCCGCCAAGACAAUCAUUAAACAAUAGUCUAUUUCAAUGAAUUGAAUAGGAUUUUUUGUUAGACUUGAGGAGAAUCAAAUGGUAAAGUUAUCAGUGUAUAGAUUUCACCCUCUUGUUUUUUGUUUACUGGACUGAUAAUUAACUUGUUAUUUUAAAACUCAUGUCACAAUUUUGAUCUUUAAUAUCACCUUAAGUAAACCUUUAUCAAUUAUAAUUAAUUAUCUAACUGUCUCCAAGAACAAUAAAUUGGUUAUCAACAGUGUAUCACAUAGUGAUUGUUGUUGUAAUGCUAGUAAAUAGAAAAACAAUAUGAUAAAAAAUAGCAAGACUGUCUUCUAAAUUGAAAAUAACAGAAAAAAGGAGAGUUCACCAAAAGGGAUAAAAUAAUAUCAGAAUACAAUACUCAUUAUCAUGAGCUUAAGAUCCAAAUUAAUUUUUCAUUUCUUGUUCUACUUAAUAAUAUUAUUUCCAAAAUUAACGUAAUGGAAACUUAUCCUUGUCAGAUAUAACAGUACAGAGACUUACCUAAGGUCUUUGAUAGACAGGGUUCCUCUAAAAUCUCUUAAUAUUUCUAAUAAGACCCAACUCCAGUAACUUCUGUAACUCAACUUUCCUAAAUCACUCAAAGGUUGUUCUGGACUACCUACCAUACCUUCUAGCCUUGAUAAUUCAUAACUGAAUGCUAUCAGAAGUUUUCCAUAACCUUGACGUUGAUAUGGUGGAAGAGUGAGUAUGCAGGCAACAUUAUUACCAUCAGGAGAUUCCUUUUCCUGGAAAAAUCAAUUCAUAACAAUUAUUAUGACACUUAUGUCUAAUGAACUUUGUUUACAUCCAAUGAAAAAAUGCAAAAGAUAUUUCGCCAAAAAUAAAGGUAAAUAUCCCCCAACCAUAAUGUAAUACAAAACUAUAAUUAUUUAGGAAGGUUUCGACCAGCUGGAUAAUCACGUAGCCAAUUAUCAUAUUUCAAAAAGAGGAAAAAAAUGGUAUAUUCCAAUUCCGUUUUGGAUAAUUGAUGUUGCUACAACCAAUGCUUGGCUUUGGCACGUGAAUACAGUUAUUUUGACGAUAAUCAUUCAUUUAUGUGAAAAGUGAUUCAAGGUUUGCUAAGAAAUUAUGGAAAAGUAUCCUCAAAUCCUGGUCCUAAAGAGCUCAAUUAGAAAUCCACAAAUUACCAUGGAAGGCAUCUUAUUAUUACCACAUACCACAUAGACGCAUGUAUGAAGUUUUUUUUAUGGCCUCUUCUGUGAUUCCUUAGAAUUUCACACUGAUUCUGUCUUUUUCUAUUUUGAGUCAAAAUAAAUUAUAGGGGUUGCAUUCCAAGGGUGACUUUAGGUUUUUUUUUCACCCCUAAUCUUUUCUUUCUUGCAGUAUAAAUCAUCAAUGGUAGUUGCAUCUUCUUUUUCACCGAAUUGGUGCAAAAAUAAGUAAAGUUUUUUAUUUUCGUUUCGAAUUUCAGGCACAUAACAAAACAACUAAAGCUUGUAAUUAUUGUAGCGUCCAUUACAUGAUAAUAUAUACAUAAUUAUUACAAUUUGUAAACUAUUAUUAAUCUUUUUUGUUUAAAAUAUAUUUUUUCCAAAGAC